GUACUCGCUUCGGCAGCAUAAAUACUAUAAUUGGAAUGCUACAGAGAAGGUUAGCAUGGCGCCUGCAGAAGGAUGACAUGCAACUCUGUAUUUUUAGCGUACUCUU